GACGAACGCUGGCGGCGUGCCUAAUACAUGCAAGUAGAACGCACAGUUUAUACCGUAGCUUGCUACACCAUAGACUGUGAGUUGCGAACGGGUGAGUAACGCGUAGGUAACCUGCCUGGUAGCGGGGGAUAACUAUUGGAAACGAUAGCUAAUACCGCAUAAUAUUGAUUAUUGCAUGAUAAUUAAUUGAAAGGUGCAAUUGCACCACUACCAGAUGGACCUGCGUUGUAUUAGCUAGUAGGUGAGGUAACGGCUCACCUAGGCGACGAUACAUAGCCGACCUGCGAGGGUGAGCGGCCACACUGGGACUGAGACACGGCCCAGACUCCUACGGGAGGCAGCAGUAGGGAAUCUUCGGCAAUGGACGAAAGUCUGACCGAGCAACGCCGCGUGAGUGAAGAAGGUUUUCGGAUCGUAAAGCUCUGUUGUAAGAGAAGAACGGGUGUGAGAGUGGAAAGUUCACACUGUGACGGUAUCUUACCAGAAAGGGACGGCUAACUACGUG
rnacentral:rRNA from 1 species